GAACUUAAGCAUAUCAAUAAGCGGAGGAAAAGAAACCAACCGGGAUUGCCUUAGUAACGGCGAGUGAAGCGGCAAAAGCUCAAAUUUGAAAUCUGGUACCUUUGGUGCCCGAGUUGUAAUUUGGAGAGGGCAACUUUGGGACCGUUCCUUGUCUAUGUUCCUUGGAACAGGACGUCAUAGAGGGUGAGAAUCCCGUGUGGCGAGGAGUGCGGUUCUAUGUAAAGUGCCUUCGAAGAGUCGAGUUGUUUGGGAAUGCAGCUCUAAGUGGGUGGUAAAUUCCAUCUAAAGCUAAAUAUUGGCGAGAGACCGAUAGCGAACAAGUACAGUGAUGGAAAGAUGAAAAGAACUUUGAAAAGAGAGUGAAAAAGUACGUGAAAUUGUUGAAAGGGAAGGGCAUUUGAUCAGACAUGGUGUUUUGCGCCCUCUGCUCCUUGUGGGUGGGGGAAUCUCGCAGUUCACUGGGCCAGCAUCAGUUUUGGUGGCAGGAUAAAUCCGUAGGAAUGUAACUUGCUUCGGGAAGUAUUAUAGCCUAUGGGAAUACUGCCAGCUGGGACUGAGGACUGCGACGUAAGUCAAGGAUGCUGGCAUAAUGGUUAUAUGCCGCCCGUCUUGAAACACG
rnacentral:rRNA from 1 species